rnacentral:lncRNA from 1 species
AUAUAGAUCUCUCCACCCCCUUGAGCCACUCACUACCUUAAUCAUGCAAAUAAUUUGUGUAUAAACCAAUACCGAUUUAUUGGAGGUAAAUGUCAGAAGAGUAAAAAGUUGGAAAUGUAGAGAAAGAGCUAUAGAUUUGGAAGCAAGGAGAUCUGGCAUCCAAUUCCCAACUCAGCCUCUAAAUAGUAAAUGUAUGACCUUGGUUGAACUUCCUAUAAAAUAGGAGUAAAAAUAUACAUCCCCCUCCAGGAUUCUGUGAUCAAUUAAACUCAGUUGUAUACUAAACACCUAGCACCUAGUAGCUGCUUGAUGAAUAUUCAUCAGUGUUUAAUAGCCACGCCCACAGCAUGUGGAUGUUUCCGGGCCAGGGAUUGAAUCUGAGCUGCAGCGACACCGCAGCCGCAGCAGCACUGGAUCCUUUAACCAGCUGCUCUGGGCCAGAGACUGAACCUGCACCUCGGCAGCCACCCAAGCUGCUACAGUUGGAUCCUUAAACCACUGUGUCACAGCAGGAACUCCAAACAUUCAUUUUUUUUUUUUAACCCUCUUCUCCCUCCUCUGUAUUUUAGGUGUAAGAUCCUGGGACAGAUCAAAAAUUCUCUGUCCUGCAUGUCUUCAUCUCUAAUAGAAUGAUGAAUAUGCCGUCUACUUUACAGAGUGGGCAUGAAGGAUUAAAUUAGAAAACUGAUAUUAAAGUGCUACCGAAAAUACAAAGGAUUUAUAAAUAUAAAGUUGUUUUCCUAAAUUGUGAUCAUACAACCUUUUCUCCAGGUAUUCCUGAUAAUUACUCCUUUGCCCAAUUUGGAAACUCAAAGGUCAACAUUCAAAAAGGAAAGGGCUUGAUUCUAAUAACUCCAUGUGGCUUAUUAUUUUCUGCUUACGCUCUUUCACCAUCUAAGCUGAGAAAGUGCUUACAUAUUGCAAAAUCAGAGGCCCAGAAGCUGUGUGCCUCCCAGCCAGUGCUGACGUCAAACUGCAGGGCACGUGGCCCUGUGCACUCCCAGAUCAGCGCAAUUCUGCCACACGCUUACAACUUGGGCUUCGUGCUUGAUCAUCUCCAAUUCCAAGUGCGUAUUUUUAAACUUUUGAAAGUGAAGUGUGUUCACGCAAGCACUCUUCACAAAGGUCAAAAGCAGGCGGGAGCCAUGGCGCCCUCCUUGGAGGGGCCUGUGCUCUUGGAAUCUCUCCCAGUGGGAGCCCUGGAGAUUAGGGAACUCAACCCCAACCUGGAUCUUGCUGGCAUUUUCUGACUUUUUCCUCUCCCUCUCCCUAAUAGAGUUAAUAAUAAGAGCACACCAUUUCAAAGCACUUUAGAUUUUGAAAACCUGUGAUGAAUAUCAUUUCUUUGAUUCUUUGCAUUGCCACUGCUUAUUUACUUACUGGGAUCAGCCACCAGACUCUGCUAAGAACACACCUUGUGACUUGCUCACGUCUUGGUAUCCCCAGCACCUCUCUAGCAUGUGCCUGGCUCAUAGUAGGUGCUCAAUAUCCCUUCCUUGAAAGCCCAACUAGAGGAAUGACUAUCAUCACCCUCAAAUUAAUCUUGAGAAGCCUGAAACUCAGUGACCUGAAGUCAUGUGCCCCCAAAACAUGCUAAAUUCCAGAGGCCAUCCCAAACCCAGGUCUUUUGACCUCAGUUACACCAGAAACUCCAAUACAGUGGGUAAUUCCUAUCUAAGGGAGAGAAAUAGAAAGAAACCUAAACGUUGCUGCCCUGAGUACAGCCUUGAACGGAGCUGCCAGGAUACAGGAGGGGGCACAUACAGAAUCAUCGAACUCACUAAUGCCAAUUCUCUUUCCACGUGCCUUUCAUGCACUUGGCCUUGGGAGAGAGGGUAUAUGUCCCUAGGUGCAUGCAUGGAUGGCAUGUCUAGGAAAAGGUGAACUGGACCUUAACUCCCCGUCAUGGUCCAGGAUCUGACAUCAGGCUGGCCAGAUCUCAAAAUCUGGAGUGAGAGUGGCUGAGACCGAAUGCAGGUUCGGCCACAUAUACGUGGUAUCACUUGGGCACUCUUUGUCUCUCAUCUCCUCAUCUGUAAAAUGGGGGAGAUGAUACAAAUUACUUCAUAGGGUUAUUCUAAGGAUUAAAUGGAUUCAUUCAAUUUUUAAGGGCUUCAUACAAUGAUAGGCACUCUGUCAUAGGAUAAUAAAUAUUAUCUAUCGUUAUUCUUGCACUGGCAUAUUCUACUUCCAUAAUGCCCUUCCCUAACGGUUUCAUCACCUACACCAGCCAGCGCCGUAGCAUUAGUUACCUGGAUUGUGCCAAAGUCUUCUUCACUAGAUCACCUGCCUGCGGCCCCACCUUGCCCUAAAGCAUCUUCUUUCUAAACUCUUUCUGAAAUUCUCCCCUGGUCAUGUAACUCACUUGACGGAACAUCUGUGGCUUCCUCACAGCCUGGAGGAUGCUGUCCAGGUCCUUCAUAUGACUGUCAAGAUAAUUCCCCAUCCAACUCCAACCUCGCAUUCAAGCCACAUCUUCCAUGCCUUUCUCGUGUUCUACUUCCUUGUUCCUUGAGCACAGCCUGUGCAAAAUCAAGGUGUGCAUUCUUUGACUAUCUGUGUACCUUUGAUACCUACAAAGACUGUAAAAACAUUCUAGGGAGUUCCCUGGUGUCACAGUAGGUUAAAGAUCUGGUAUUCUCACUGCAGCUGCUAGGUUGUUGCUGUUGUUUGGGUUCAAUCCCUGGCCUGGGAACUUCCACAUGCUGCGGGAGCAGCCAAGAAGAAAAAAAAAAAAAAAACACUCCAGUGAUUUAAACAUGUGUUCACUGAAUUCACUUCAUAAAAUAACUGAAUACCGAAUUAUAUCACAAAAACGUCUGGGCGUUAGUGGCAGGCAGAUUAGAGUUUCCGUGUCAAUUCUGGCAUUUAUUAGAUCUGUGGCCUUGAACAAGUUAUUUAACCUCUCUGAGCUUCUGUUUCUUCUUUGAUGAACUACAGCUAUAGUCUGUUUUAUAGAAUGUUGUGAGAAUUAAAUGGAGUGAUGUAUUCAAGGUACUUCCCACAGUGCCUGUGCAUGGUAUACACGCUCCAAAAAGUGGCAGCUAAAACUAAAAGUUUCUAGUGUACAUCAACAGUAAAAAGGCUUCUGGUGAUAAUUGGGCAACUUGUUGGGAAUCCUGGAGCCUACUUGCUUAUCAGACUAAGCCCCCUAAUGCGUAAGCCCCCAGCAAGAACCACAAGGCCUGCUUUUAGAGAAGCCAGCGAACAUAUGCUCUGAGAUAGCUUUAAAUAAGCACAAAGCACUCAGCAGCCCACACACAUUCUCCUGGCCCGUUCCCACCCACAGAAAGCAGAGAAAACCCUGGUCACCGGCCUUUCCCAUUCUCUUAGCAGAAAUGACUUUGGGCUUGAGCAAGUAAGAGCAUGACCCUUCUGGAUCGACCACGAUGGCCCAGGCAGAGCAUCUCCAGGCCAGCAGUGAUUCCGAGACGACAGCAACUGAAGGGUGGAGACUUUGAGGUGGCCCACUGCUCGUCUGAGCUUGAGCAGAGAUCCAUCAGUGGUCCCCAAAGAGGCUCCAGGUCACACUCCCAUCCUGCUCUGGGGACCCACAGGCUCUGCUCCAUGGCCGACUGUCUUCAGCUGACCAGAGCACAAAUGAAUAUUUAACUCGAACUCCCAUGACCUAUUGUGUAUAUAACCUUGUGGACAUAACACUUAUAUAACCCCAGCCUAUGAGGGCCAAGUCCUGCUGCAUAGAUGUACAGACAGGAAUGCAUGACACUGCAGCCUUUCUCCUGAGAGCGAGAAGCUGCAAAAAUGAUCCUUUUUUAAGGAGUAGCUUGACAGAGUAUGAUGCUAACUAAAGGAGAGAGAGAAAGAGUGCGUGUGUGUCUGGAUGUGUGUGUGUGUGUGUGUGUGUGUGUGUGUGUGUGUUCACAUGCAGACGUGCCCGAGUAUGUGUGUAUGACACAGAAAAAGAAAGAAAAAGGAAGUGAUUCCUCCGCAUCCAGAAAUUCUUAAUUGAUUAUCUAACAUGGCAUGUUGGCUCAGGUAAUUUAGGAAAUUGAAAUUAUAUGUUUGUACAGAGAUAAUCUAUGCUUCAAAAUAUCUGGCAUGGUAGGAGGAACACUGACGAAGAGUUGAAAAACUUGCUUCGUGCAGGCUUAAUAUGGGGCUAAUUCAGAAUUACAGAGCCGGAGACUUAUGGGACUCAACAUAAAAUGUACCAGUUCACUGAGCACUGGAGCGAUCAAGGAAACACACAUAAAAAUUCCGAUAAGAAUGGAAUGUGAGGCAAAAGCACAAUUUCCUCCCAAUCUGGAAUAUCAGCAGGAUUUGCGCUCGUUGUUUGUGGUUUUCUGGGGUAGAUGGUACAUUACAGCGGAGCGUCAGCAGUAAUGCUACAUGGCAGCUCCUCGGAAUACCAUCUGCUUCCCCGGGAACUGUUAAUAUAGUUGUAAUUAUCUACUUCUAAGCACUUUAUUGGGAAUAUCAUUUGCAAAUUAAUCAACUACAGACCGGUAAAACAAAUGACAUGCUUCCCCGAAAACAACAGCGUUGUUUCACGUUCUUUUCCAAAGGAUUUGAGAAAGCCGAAGGUGGAGGGGGAGAAGGGGGUUCACACUUGCCUUGAAAAUCUUGCCCUGUGCCUGCAAGUUGAGCAGAAAGAAUCACACAAUCGAAUGUUCUAGAAAGGCCUUUGGAGGAUUCGGGCAACAGGGAGGAGGUGGAGAGCAUGAAGACCUAAGAGAUGGGUAAUGUUAUCAGGUGAGACAAGAGGCGUGAGAUGGACUCCAAUGGACAGCUACGCAACAGUGAAGACAAAGGCUUCCAGACUCUUCUACAAUUGCUCCCUUGGCUGGAGGGUGCCGCCUUCUCGGUCUCGCCCUCCCAACCCUCCAGCUGCCUGCAGCAGGUGGGUGGACCCUCCAGUCAAGGCCAUCUCCUGGGGCCAUAGGACAAGAAGCAGGAGUGCUGGGGAAAAGAGCAAAAGCCCUGGAGUGCUAAGCCUUAAUGCUC